GACGAACGCUGGCGGCGUGCUUAACACAUGCAAGUCGAACGGAAAGGCCUGCUUUCCCUUGUGGAUUGCGGGUACUCGAGUGGCGAACGGGUGAGUAACACGUGAGUGAUCUGCCCCCAACUUGGGUAUAAGCCUGGGAAACUGGGUCUAAUUCCCGAUAGGACUGCAGGGUGGUGCCUGUGGUGGAAAACGAUUUUCUAGUGGUUGGGGAUGAGCUCGCGGCCUAUCAGCUUGUUGGUGGGGUAAUGGCCUACCAAGGCGGCGACGGGUAGCCGGCCUGAGAGGGUGGACGGCCACAUUGGGACUGAGAUACGGCCCAGACUCCUACGGGAGGCAGCAGUGGGGAAUAUUGCACAAUGGGCGGAAGCCUGAUGCAGCGACGCCGCGUGGGGGAUGACGGCCUUCGGGUUGUAAACUCCUUUCGACCGCGAGGAAGCCACCUGGUUGGAAGGGUGGUGACGGUAGUGGUAGAAGAAGCACCGGCUAACU
rnacentral:rRNA from 1 species